rnacentral:lncRNA from 1 species
AUGGAGGGGAGGAUUGGGGCCCCCCAGGCACACAGAGCUGCCUGUGGAUGGGGACAUCCUCUCUCACGUGAGCUGAAAAUUCUCCUUGCUACAAAAAGGAUUGCAGAGAAUGAAGAAACACCAGAUAUGAUUUCAAGCCAUUGGGGUGCUGAUGUGGAUACCGAUGGGCUCCUGCACCUCUUUAGCCAGACAGAUCUGUUAACACCGGAUUUCUGCUACAAUUAUAAAACAUCAUUGGAGACAAGCUGGAUGGGAAAGAACCUCUCCAAAUCAUUCCUGAGUGAUAAUAUGAGAACAUCCAGCCCGAAAGAAAAAUUUGGACCACUCAGUAAUUGCAGGAAGGAAAAUCAUUAUGGCACAAGCGCCUUGUCAUUCCACAUGCCUCUCCCCAUGAUGGAUGCUCUCCAUUUACGAAGUCGUCAGUGGAAACCCAGAGGAAAUGAUUGCUAUCCGGGCUCAACCUGGAGCAAGUUCAUCAUUAAACAACUCCCGUGAUUUCCACUGCUCGGCAUUCAUCUUUUUCUCGCGGGGCUGAGAAAGAAGAGGGUUUUGACUUCAAGACAGAGAAAGCUGCCACCUAAUUGCUCUUUUUGUCGUCUGUACCUUGUUGUGAAGAGGUAGACAAGAGGGAUCACCAUUAAAUGGACAGGCACUUGUAGCUACAGGAACUUUUAAACGCUCUGGCUGGGAGCAUUUGGCAUGAUCCAGCAAAGUGGGUAAUAUAUAUAUUUAAAACCCCGGCAAUUGGAGUCCUAAGUAUUUACCCUGGAGAGUUGAGUGCAUUUGUGCGUUGGGAUACACAUAGAGGAAAAGGUCAGAAUAGCGUUGUUUGUAAUAGCCCAAACUAUAAACAAGAUUAAUAUCCAUCAACCUAAUGGUAUAUUUUUACAAUGUGGUAUAUUUAUACAGGAGAAUAUUAUACAAAAAUGAAUGUGAACGAGCCACAGCAUGAAUUACAUAUAUAACGUUGAGUAAAGAAUCAAUACACAAAAGGGAAUCCGUAGUAUGAUCCCAUCCAUAUAAAAUAAAAAACAGGCAAAAGUGAGUACA